GAUACAAAAGCCUGGUCAUCUAAUCUUGUCACCGUUCAGGUAUCUCACUCGGCGUGCGUGAUAUCAAGUGCCGGCUGUUCUUCUUCCUCCAGUAUCGUUACUUGCUUCUAAUGCUUCUGAUCGGGCGUUCCACGUUUUUCGAGUGUAAAUUGUGCACGGAUACGGUGUCUAAAAUGACGAAUUUAGUAACGAACGAUCGUCUCGACUCUCAACACGUAAGCAUAACGUCGAAAUAAUCGUAUUUGUGGCAUGCUUCUUCACACGACCUGUUGCGUUGUUACUUUCUCGCACGUUUCUCUUUUCAUUCGCGUUCGUGUUCGUAUGUGAUAUUUAAACAAUAUCGGGUAUGUCAAAGAAUCGGGUGUUGUAAUUCAAGAAGAGCAGCAGAGAUAUCAGCAGAAGAUGACAGCCGUGGAGUAACUCGGGUCAACGUGGUGUUUCAACUAUGCUGAUGCACAUCGUGUCGUAAGCGUGCCAGUCUUGUCGGUAAACAGAUACUCAACCUGGCCAAGUUCUUCGUUCAAGUCUGAUGAAUUGGCAAUUGCUGGUUGAUCGUUUUUCUUAUCGUACAUGUCCAAGUCCCAGCCGAUGAAAAAGGAGCCGAGAAACUUUUGCAGUUCUGUUAACACAAAUACAUUUGCUGAAUAGAAAUAAAAAUAAUUUUAACAGUCAAACAGAAGGAAACUGUGAAGUAGGAUUGUCUUACCAGCGGUGGAGUACAAUGAUAUCGGC
rnacentral:lncRNA from 13 species